rnacentral:tRNA from 3 species
GCGGUCGUGGUGGAAUUGGUAGACACGCCAGCUUGAGGUGCUGGUGGCCGAAAGGCUGUGCUGGUUCAAGUCCAGUCGUCCGCA